GACGAACGCUGGCGGCGUGCCUAAUACAUGCAAGUUGAGCGAUGAAGAUUGGUGCUUGCACCAAUUUGAAGAGCAGCGAACGGGUGAGUAACGCGUGGGGAAUCUGCCUUUGAGCGGGGGACAACAUUUGGAAACGAAUGCUAAUACCGCAUAACAACUUUAAACAUAAGUUUUAAGUUUGAAAGAUGCAAUUGCAUCACUCAAAGAUGAUCCCGCGUUGUAUUAGCUAGUUGGUGAGGUAAAGGCCCACCAAGGCGAUGAUACAUAGCCGACCUGAGAGGGUGAUCGGCCACAUUGGGACUGAGACACGGCCCAAACUCCUACGGGAGGCAGCAGUAGGGAAUCUUCGGCAAUGGACGAAAGUCUGACCGAGCAACGCCGCGUGAGUGAAGAAGGUUUUCGGAUCGUAAAACUCUGUUGGUAGAGAAGAACGUUGGUGAGAGUGGAAAGCUCAUCAAGUGACGGUAACUACCCAGAAAGGGACGGCUAACUACGUG
rnacentral:rRNA from 1 species